rnacentral:miRNA from 14 species
CAUGUGUUUAUGUUUUGUGUGUAUGUAUAAAAGUUUAUAUGACGAAACUUAUACAUACACACAUACACAAACCCCAGC